UUUCCGUAGGUGAACCUGCGGAAGGAUCAUUAAAGAGAUAGGGUCUUCAUGGCCCGACCUCCAACCCUCUGUUGUUAAAACUACCUUGUUGCUUUGGCGGGACCGUCUCGGUCUCCGAGCGCACUAACCCUCGGGUUGGUGAGCGCCCGCCAGAGUCCAACCAAACUCUUGUAUUAAACCAGUCGUCUGAGUAUAAAAUUUUAAUUAAAUUAAAACUUUCAACAACGGAUCUCUUGGUUCUCGCAUCGAUGAAGAACGCAGCGAAAUGCGAUAAGUAAUGUGAAUUGCAGAAUUCAGUGAAUCAUCGAAUCUUUGAACGCACAUUGCGCCCCUUGGUAUUCCGAGGGGCAUGCCUGUUCGAGCGUCAUUACACCACUCAAGCAUCGCUUGGUAUUGGGAACGGUCCGUCGAAAGGCGGGCCUUCCUCGAAGACCUCGGCGGGGUUCAACCAACUUCGGGCGUAGUAGAGUUAAAUCGAACGUCUUAUAAGCUUGGUCGGAUCUCAUUGCCGUUAAACCUUUAAAUUUUCUAGGUUGACCUCGGAUCAGGUAGGGAUACCCGCUGAACUUAAGCAUAUCAAUAAGCGG
rnacentral:rRNA from 1 species